GAAAACAACCGAACCCUAAAAGUCCACGAACAGCGCUGAUAAACGACUCCUGUUUUUCCUGCAAUUAUUUUUCGAGAAAGAAAAAAAAAUGGAGAAUCUACAGAAGCAAAUUAAAAUGUCACGUAUUUUCUCUGCUCUGUGAGUCAAGUUCCCCUGCUUUUCUGACGCCGAUCCCAGCUUCGGCAGGAACGUGAAAACACGAAACAAUCCUCUGUUCAACGACCACUUAGUGCCGGAUAUCAGACGAAUGGAAGGACAGAGGAGGAACAGUAGCAUGAGAAAGGAAUCUGUGCUCAGGAACCUCUCGAAGAACAACUCCACCUUGAACCACUUUAGGGAUGAAAAAGAGGGAAACGAAUCAAACAGACAACUUCAACCUAACAGAGGAACAUUUUCUUUAUAUGACCUUAAGGGCCCCCUAAGACCCUCUUGGAAAUUCAGUGCCGCCACCAUGACACCUGGCCAGACAGAAGAGCAAGAGGUGGAAGAAGAUACCUUUGGCAGCUUAAUUUCUCCACUGGACUGAGAAGCUGUGGUAACUGAUUGCCACCGCUGCUCUACGCGGUUUUGAGGGUUCCAGGGACUAACUCUGUAUGGAGUGCCAGAAACCCAGGAGAGUCUUUCUUGCUCCCUUUGUGUUUCGCUUUCUCUGUCCAGAUUGCCGUCUGGGGUUCUGUCUCUCUCUCGCCUCUCAGUGUCUUUCUCCUGCUCUCUUUCUUACUCUGUGGGCACGGUUCUUCAAUAAAAUAUUAUGUGAAAAAAAAUCAAA